GACGGUACCUAACCAGAACGCCCGGCUAAUUACGUGCCGGCAGCCGCGGUAAUACGUAGGUGGCAAGCGUUAUCCGGAAUUAUGGGGCGUAAAGCGCGCGCAGGUGGUUUCUUAAGUCUGAUGUGAAACCCCACGGCUCACCCGUGGAGGGUCAUUGGAAACUGGGAAACUUGAUUGCACAAAAGGAAAGUGAAAUUCCAUGUGUAGCGGUGAAAUGCGUAAAGAUAUGGAGGAACCCCAUUGGCAAAGGCGACUUUCUGGUCUGUAACUGACACUGAGGCCCAAAAGCGUGGGGAGCAAACAGGAUUAAAUACCCUGGUAUUCCACCCCUUAAACAAUGAAUGCUAAUUGUUAGAGGGUUUCCCCCCUUUAGUGCUGAAAUUAACGCAUUAAGCACUCCGCCUGGGGACUACGGCCGCAAGGCUGAAACUC
rnacentral:rRNA from 1 species